rfam:Capsicum annuum cultivar Zunla-1 chromosome 3, whole genome shotgun sequence
UACCUGGUUAAUCCUACAAGUAGUCAUAUGCUUGUCUCAAAGAUUAAGCCAUGCAUAUGUAAGUACGAGCUAAUUUAGACUGUGAAACUGGGAAUGGCCCAUUAAAUCAUUUACAGUUUGUUUGAUGGUAUCUACUACACGGAUAAUUGUAGUAAUUCUAAAGCUAAUACGUGCAACAAACCUCAACUUCUGAAAGGGAUGCAUUUAUUAGAUCAAAGGUCGACGCCGGCUCUGCCCGUUACUGCGAUGAUUCAUGAUAACUCAAUGGAUCGCACGGCCAUCGUGCUGACGAUGCAUCAAUUAAAUUUAUGCCCUAUCAAAUUUUGAUGGUAGGAUAGUAGCCUACCAUGGUGGUGAUGGGUGAUGAAGAAUUAGGGUUCUAUUCUGGAGAGGGAGCCUGAGAAACGGCUACCACAUCUAAGGAAGGAAGCAGUCGUGCAAAUUACCUAAUCCUGAAAUGGGGAGGUAGUGACAAUAAAUAACAAUACCAGGCUAAAUGAGUCUGGUAAUUAGAUUGAGUACAGUCUAAAUCCCUUAACGAGGAUCUAUCGGAAGGCAAGUCUGGUGCCAGCAGCCGCGGUUAUUCCAGCUCCAAUAGCAUAUAUUUAAGUUGUUGCAGUUAAAAAACUUGUAGUUGGACUUUGGGAUGGGCCGGCUGGUCCACCUAUGGUGUGCACCGGUUGUCUCGUCCCUUCUAUCCGUGAUACGCUCCUGGCCUUAACUGGCCGGGUCGUGCCUCUGGCGCUAUUACUCGAGAAGAAAUUAGAGUGCUCAAACAAAGUCUACUCUCUAUAUACAUCAGCAUAGGAUAAAAUUAUAGGAUUUUAGUCCUAUUAUAUUGGCCUUCGGGAUCAGAGUAAUGAUUAACAGAGACAGUCAGGGGCAUUCGUAUUUCAUAGUCAGAGCUGAAAUUCUUUGAUUUAUGAAAGACGAACAACUAAAAAAGCAUUUCCCAAGGAUGUUUUCAUUAAUCAAGAACAAAAGUUGGGGGCUCAAAGACGAUCAGAUACCGUCCUAGUCUCAACCAUAAACGAUGUCGACCAGGGAUCAACGGAUGUUGCUUUUAGGACUCCGUCGGCACCUUAUGGGAAAUUAAAGUUUUUGGGUUUCGGGGGGAGUAUGGUCACAAGGCUGAAACUUAAAGGAAUUGAUGGAAGGGCACCACCAGGAGUGAAGUUUGCGACUUAAUUUGACUCAACACGGGGAAACUUACCAGGUCCAGACAUUGUAAGGAUUGACAGACUGAGAGCUCUUUCUUGAUUCUAUGGGUGGUCGUGCAUGGUCGUUCUUAAUUGGUGGAGCAAUUUGUCUGGUUAAUUUCAUUAACGAACGAGACCUCAGCCUGCUAAUAACAGGUCUGUGAUGCCCUUAGAUAUUCUGGGCCGCACACGUGCUACACUGAUGUAUUUAACGAGUUUAUAGCCUUGGCCGAUAGGCCCGGGUAAUCUUUGAAAUGUCAUCAUGAUGGGGAUAGAUCAUUGCAAUUGUUGGUCUUCCACGAGGAAUUCCUAGUAAGAGUGAGUCAUCAGCUCGCGUUGACUACGUCCCUGCCCUUUGUACACACCGCCCGUCACUUCUACCGAUUAAAUGAUUUGGUGAAAUAUUUGAAUCGCAGCGAUGUGGGUGGUUCGCUGCCCAUGAUAUCAUGAGAAGUCCAUUGAAUGUUAUCAAUUAGAAGAAGGAGAAGUCGUAACAAGGUUUCUGUAGGUGAACCUGUAAAAAGAUUAUUG